rnacentral:lncRNA from 1 species
UUUUAGCCCGUGUUCACAAAACAUGCACACAACACACUAAACACAAUACACUAGACACACAGUAUCAGGGUGGUUUCCAAAUCACUAGGCUAAUCAGCCUUGAAUUCUCAACAUUUUCAAAUGCAAAAGUCGUGUUGGGGGGUGCUGAUGCUGAAUGGGGACUGUGACAUGGAAUUCUCUUUCCUCUGAACAGCCAAGGCUUUACUCUCUUCUACUCCUACCCGGAGAAGGUAAAGCAUGUAGUGACCUCAGGGACUGCUUACCCCUUAAGGAUUUACUUCCAGGGGUGCGUGUGAAAGUCCUCCCGCCUUCUGUCUGGUGCGAGGUCUUUCUAGACAUAAUGACCAGGUUCAGGCAAGGCUAUAAAUUCACUCAUUUUCCCUGCAAGGCAUUUGCAAAGAAUGCAGGAGAGUGAGAGUGGAAAGAAAAGGCAGAGAGAAAGAUGGCUGUGAUUGUCACAUCCCUAGCCGGGCCAAGCCCCAAAGUCUGCGCCUUGAGGCAGCCUCAGAGCCUGGCCGCCAUCUCUCUGUAGGAAACAGAACAUCUGAUCAAGUUCAGAGGCGCCAGGAGAGACCGCCUCAAGCAGCGCUUUAUAACUGCAGCCUUUCACUUCCUGCUCCCCAAUCUGCCUGGCCCAGCCAACACUUCACCUUCUUUCUUAGCCGGUUUGCUGGGAGAAAACCCUACCGGUAGCACAUCUUACCGUAUUCACCCCCUCCCAUCAAACUCGCCCCAAUUCUCUCUCCACAUCCAGAGCUCUCUCCCCAGGUUGGAAGACGGAGUUUUACUCUUGCUGCCCAGGCUGGAGUGCAAUGGUAUGAUCCUGGCUCACCGCAACCUCCGCCUCCCAGGUUCAAGUGAUUCUCCUGCCUCAGCUUCCCAAGUAGCUGGGAUUACAGAUAAGAGAAAGGCCAGAUCCAACAAACAUUGACUGAGCCAUCACCAAAUGUGGGGCCCCGCGGCAGAGACUCGAAGGGUCGUUCUGCAUAAAAAAGUUGAUGACAGCAUAGCUUCGUUUAUACAGCUGGGACCCUCUGGAGUCUACAGAUGGAUUGUUAGAGAUGUGGCCUGCCAGCUGCCUUUGGAGAGUAGCCAAAUCUGCUGGGACCCAGCCACUUCAGGCACAGAUGUGCUUGCCUUUCCUGAAUGGAUGUCUUCCAGAAACGUUGGCUGUGAUGUCUGGUUUUUGUAUCUAUUGUUACUUCCAACGAAGACACAUAUACAAAAGACUCCUGGCUGCCUUUUAAAUGAAAACGUGCAGCAUAUUAGGAUCAAUCAUUUGUCUAAUGUUGACUUCCAGGAUGAAUUGCAAACUGUGCAACUCCAGAAGACUGUUCCUCAGGGGCUCAACUCCAAGCAGCUUGGAGUAUCAGAAAUUAACGGGAACCCUCUCACAGAAGAGUAUGGAACCUCUUGCUACACUUCACAUGCCCAACUCCAAAGGAGCAUUCGCUGGGAAACUGAACCCUAA